rnacentral:rRNA from 1 species
UACAGAGGUGGCAAGCGUUGUUCGGAAUUACUGGGCGUAAAGGGCGCGUAGGCGGCCAUCUAAGUCAGACGUGAAAUCCCCCGGCUUAACCUGGGAACUGCGUCUGAUACUGGACGGCUUGAGUUUGGGAGAGGGAUGUAGAAUUCCAGGUGUAGCGGUGAAAUGCGUAGAUAUCUGGAGGAAUACCGGUGGCGAAGGCGGCAUCCUGGACCAAUACUGACGCUGAGGCGCGAAAGCUAGGGGAGCAAACGGG